GGCCUGGUGGUCUAGUAGUAUGAUUCCUUCUUAGGGCUAUAAAGCAUACCUGGAGGAGGUCCCGGGUUCAAUUCCCGGCCAGGCCC